UUCUAUUUAUAGGAGAAGUAGCCAAUAUUUGUUGCAACCAAUCAGAAGGAUUGGAUUUGUUGCAAAUUGUGUGCAACUUGCCGAUUUGCAUUGUUGCAAAUCUGGUUCCACGAAUCAAAAUGUUUCUGGCCAAAAUUCUUUUUUCUUCAUUUAAUGGGGAUGGACCUCACAAAUACCCCCUCCAUACCCAUUCACCUGAAGGAGGUAAUACCAACUUCUAGCUUGAGUGCACGCCGACAUGUUCUUUGCACAAUUCAAACUUGUCCCUUGCUACCAUCUUGGUUGGCAUAUCUGCAGGAUUCUCAAUUGUAGAAAUCUUCAAAACUUGUAGAGAUUCAUUCUCUACAAUUUUUUAAUCCAGUGAUAUCUUACGUCAAUAUGUUUGGACUUUGCAUGGUAUAUGGAGUUCUUGCUCAGGUAUGUUGCACUUUGACCGGUACAACAUACACAUUUUCUUCUCAUGCAAGCCAAGCUCUUGAAGGAACCGCUACAACCAUAUCAUUUCCUUGCUAGCUUUAGUUGCAGCAAUAUAAUCCCCUUCAGUUUUAGAGAGUGCAACACACUUCUGCAACCUCGACUAUCAUGAUAUAGCUCCCCUUGAAAAGGUAAACAAAUAUUCCGUACUGGAUUUUCUGUUAUCAAGGUCACCUAUCAUAUCAGCAUAUGUAUAGCCUUUCGAGAUUGGAUCGGAUCUUCUAAGACACAAACAGUCUCCUGCAGUACCUCUUAGGUACCUAAGUAUCCACUUGACUGCUUUCCAAUGUUCUUUCUAGGAUUUUCGAGAAACCUGCUUACAACACCAAUUGCAUAUGCAAUACCAGGUCUGGUGCAUCAAACCCCCGACUGCCGAAGACUAAGGAACUUUGUUCAUGCUCUCUUUCUCCUCCUUUGUUGGAGGACACAUCUGUUUGCUCAAUUUCAGAUGACUAGCAAGAGACGUGCUAACGGGUUUAUCAAUUUUCAUCUAGAAGCGUUUUAGUACACGUUCAAUAUACUUCUCCUGAGAUAGCCAACUUUUUCUUGUUCGUUCUCGAACAAUCUAUAUCCCCAAAAUUUGUUGUGCUGGUCCCAAGUCGUUCAUGUCAAUGGAUUUGGACAAAUCUCUGUUCAACUUGUCAAUCAACUCUUUGUCUUGUCCUGCAACCAACAUAUCAUCUACAUACAACAACAAGAUAAUAAAGUUGUUAUCGGAAAAUCUUUUGCAGUAUACACACACUACUACAAAACACCUUCGGCGGCAAUAUGUCCUGUAAUUGCUGCAGGUCUUGAAAAUUUACCACUCAUUCAAAGUUAUGGAAGUAUUCAAGCACUCUCUAAGGAUGGCAAAAAGAGUGACAGACAACAUGAUCUUGUGAAUGCUGCAAGUACAAUCUUAUUUUGGUCUCAGCUCCUUAAAUUGAUCAUUUAUACUUGGAGAAAUUCCAUAUCUGAAGGGCAGAAUCACAAUUAUGUGCCAGCUUUGGGAACUGACAGGAUCUGUUCCGAUCAUUAUUUCUUUUUCAUCCUGCUUGGAAUUGCUUGUUCUUAUGCCGAGGGUCUACCAGAAACAAUCUCUCUACCUUCCCAAGGUAGAGGUGUCAUCUGCUGUACUUCGCAAGGACAUUGACUAUCUCCUGGAUUUGAUAGAGAGGUUAAAGAAUGGAAGAGAUCAAAUUGCUCUUGACAUGGGCAAAAUUGAGAAGCUGACGUUUCUGUUGUCAAAUUUACGGAUUUUGUAUUUCAUUUCUGAUAAGCCUGAUGCCGAAAUGUCUUGUGUAUCACAUGAGGCUCAUGAUCUGAUGACUGCUUAUGAUCUGGUUCAGUCAAUUUUUCAUCAGAGUGGACAAGAUGACAUGAUGCCUAAGUUAAAGGAAAAUAUCAGCUUAGAUCAUCAUUCUGAAUCAAGUAAAACCAUGUGUGAGGAUCAGUUGGUUGAACUUUUGGACGCCCUCCUCGUGGUUCUUAAUUAUCUGCCCAAGCAUCUUUUCCUAUCAAUGACUCAAUAUGAGCUUCUUCAGAAUGUAUGCUGCCAUUUAAGAGAUUUCCAUGAGCUGAAAGUAAAUGGCUGCAUUGAGCAUGAGACAGUUGAAUAUGUCUUACCUCAGUUUCAACUUAUGGCUGAGAGAGUAGGACACUUCUGUAUUGUCCUUAUGUUGUAUCUGGAUAAAAUAAAUGAAACAGAUGAACUUGAUGAAACACUUGAGCUUAGUGAAGCAGAUGAACUUGAUGAAACAGAUGAACUUGAUGUAACAAAUGAACUAGAUGAACUUGAUGAAACACUUGAGCUUAGUGAAGCAGAUGAACUUGAUGAAACAGAUGAACUUGAUGAAACAUGUGGAAUUGGUGAAAUAGACGAACCUGAUGAAGCAGAUGAAGUUGAUAGAAAACUUGAAGUCCCUCAAGCCACUUCUAUGCUAGCUGAUCUACUUGUGAAGAUUAUUCCGGUUGAACUGGAGGUUAUGCACAUAUGUUCAACAAAUUUGAAAGCUUCAAAGUCAGCAGAAGUUGGACGCUUCAUUACGCAGCUCCAAGAAGCCUGUCCAGACAUUCUUAGAGAACAUCUAAUCCAUCUACAAGAGCACUUGGUAACUGGUCUUAAUGCUAGCACUUCAGCUCAGAACAUUCAUGUCAUGAUAGAGUUUCUAUUGAUUAUUCUUGCUGAUAUUCCCAAGGACUUUAUUAAUCAUGACAAAUUGUUUGUUCUCUUGACACGUAUUGGAGCACAUACCAGAGAGGCAUCCAUUCUUGUUGGCAACAUAGAAGAGAACUCAAGGAAUGAAGAGAAUAUGAAUGAAGCAAGCCGUGCAAGUCUAGACUUGCUGAAAAAUAUCGAACUCCUGAAGAAAGAUCUCAAGCAUGUUUUCUUAAAAGCCCCUGCACACUCAUCUCAGCUCUGUUUCCCCAUGAGUGACGGACCACUCUUCAUGACUCUUCUACUCGGAAACUUAAAUGAUUUGUUCAGAUCCAAUGCUUAUUCAGUAGCUUUAAUAAAGGAAGAAAUUGGGUUGGUAAAAGACGACCUAGAAUUCAUAAGCUCCCUCGUCGGGAGUGUUGACCAAGAAUUGAAUAGAGAUCUCUGGACUCGUGUUCUAGAUGUGGCAUAUGAGGCAGAACAUGCCAUUAACUCAAUUCUUGUCAGAGAUCAUGGUGUCUUGCACCUUAUCUUCUUACUUCCCUAUACCAUCGGAAAGAUUAAGCUUAUCAAAGAAGAGGUACAACAGAAGAUCUCCACGAAUAGUGGCCUCGUCGUAAGCUCUCCCAACAAGCCAGUUGAAAUUAGAAAGUCACCAACAACUGCUCAAAUAAUUGUAGGUUUUGAGGAGGAGACAAAGUGGAUAAUUAGGAAGCUCACCCUCAGACCAACUGAGUUAGAUGUCAUUUCCAUAUUUGGUAUGCCAGGGGUUGGAAAAACUACGUUGGCUUACAAAGUAUAUAAUGACAAGUCUGUUGUUGAUCAUUUUGACAUUCGUGUUUGGUGCACAGUCGACCAAGAACGUAAUGUGAAAAGGUUAUUGCAGAAAAUUUACAAUCAAGUUAUUGGUUUGAAAGAAAGAUUCAGUGAGAAGGAUGACAUAGAUGAAGAUGUUGCUGAUAAGUUACAAAGACAAAUGAUUGUAAAAACAUUCAGUGAGAAGGAUGACAUAGACGAAGAUGUUGCUGAUACGUUACGAAGACAAAUGAUAGUAAAAAGAUUCAGUGAGAAGGAUGACAUAGAUGAAGAUGUUGCUGAUAAGUUACGAAGACAAUUGUUUGGAAAGAGGUACCUUAUUGUCUUGGAUGACAUGUGGGAUACUGCAAUAUGGGAUGAGCUAAGUAUGUCUUUUCCUGAAUAUCCGACAAGAAGUAGAGUCAUCUUAACAAGUCGAAAAAAGGAAGUGGCUGUGCAUGGAAAACGCCACAGCGAUCCUCUUAACCUUCGAUUGCUAAGGCCAGAGGAAAGUUGGGAGUUAUUCGAGAAGAGGGUAUUCGGAGAAGAAAAUUGCCCUCGCGAACUAAGGGGCGUUGGAGAAAGAAUAGCCCAAAAAUGUAAAGGGCUUCCUUUGGCACUUGAUCUGAUUUGUGGAGUCAUUGCAAGGAAGGAAAAGAAAAAGGCUUUGUGGCUUGAAGUUUUAAAAAAUUUGAGUUCCUUUAUUUUCAAGGAUGAAGUGGAAGUGAUGAAGGUUAUACAAUUAAGUUAUGACCAUUUAUCGUAUCACCUUAGGCCAUGUUUACUUUACCUCGCAAGUUAUCCAAAGGACGAAUAUAUUUUUACCUCUGAUUUGAAAGAUUUAUUGAGUGCUGAAGGACUCAUGGAACAGACUGAGAUGAAGAGUGUGGAAGAAGUAAUGGAGUCUUAUUUGGAUGAGUUAAUUUCCAGUAGCUUGGUAGUAGUUUUUAGUGAGACAGGUGGGAGCCCGAGGUGCAGAAUCCAUGAUCUUGUGCAUGAUUUUUGUUUGGUAAAAGCUAGAAAAGAAAAAUUGUUUGACUUCAUAAGUCCAAGUGGUCCGUCUUCUUCUUCGGAACUGAUGCCGCGUGGAAUGAUUCACUACAAUCAAAAGUCUGUCCAGCUCAAUCUAGAAAAGAGAAAUUAUGCUAAGCACCUCCUCUCUUUGAAGGUAGACAUGACUCGUAGUAAAUAUUGGCAUGGGUAUCAUCUUCCCUACAACAUUUACCUACGAAACUUGAGGCUUAUUAAAAGGUUGGAGCUGCGGGAAAUAAGAUUGACAGAUUCUUUGCUGAAUGAAAUAGGCAUGCUUGUUCAUUUGAAGUGCUUAAAAAUUCAGACGAAGGUAAAAGCUCUCCCUCUGUCAUUUUCGAACCUCAGGAAUCUAGAAACUUUGGUGGUGAAUAACCAGAAAGAAACCAUGGAACUGUCACCUGGUAUUUGGAGUCUUGCAAAGCUACGAUGUGUGAAAAUCAAUUAUUGUUCUCUCUUGGAUGAACCAAUGGAUUCAAAGUUGGAGAAUUUGAGAAUAUUAGAUGGUCUCUUCUUUUUCUUUCCAAGAAAUACAGAGGACAUCUUCAAAAGGUUUCCCAAUCUUCGAACCCUUGGACUCAGCGUUGGAAACCCAGUGGAUUUUUGUUUUCCCAGAUUUGAUGUCUUUAAUGCACUUGAAGAACUUUCCAUAAGUUCUGGUGGUACUUGGUUUGAUAAACCAUGGGAUUGUCACUUGCCUUCGAGCUUAAAUAAACUGGAGGUGUUAGAGCUUCAUUUGACAUCCGAUUCAAUGUCAAGAAUUGGAAGACUACCCAACCUUCAACACCUGAGUCUAGAAUGCACAACCAUCCAGGGGGGAGAAUGGAACUUGGAAGAAGUCACCUUCGAGAGUCUCAAAUUUCUGAUGUUGUAUAUGGUGUCUUUCUCUGAAUGGAAGGUUGAUGCAGAGGAAUCCUUUCCCGUGCUCGAGGAAUUAGAAAUAUAUGCAUGUUUUAAGCUUAAGGAGAUUCCGGACAGUUUUGGGGAUAUUGCUUCAUUGAAGUCUAUCAAUGUGUGGAGGGACCUUCGACUAAGAGAUUCAGCCCUGAAUAUAAAGGAAUAUGUUGCAGAAAUGACGGGAGAAGACAAGCUUGAGGUGAAGUGGAAGUCCUUAUCUCCAGAGUGCAUAUAAAUGUUUGCCAGCACAUCAACCUGUAGAAGCUUCAAAUGAUGGAUGUAUUCCUGAUGUGUGGUUUAUCCGUUGUGGUUAAGCACUGUUUUCCAGUUUGACUUCUUUUCAAUUUCUUCUUCUUUUUUUGGCGAUUAAAGGUGCCUAUAGACAGCAGAACUAUCCUAAAAUACAAGCAUCGCUUAAUAAUCAAAUUUGUUGUUAAUCUGACUGAUUCUUCUAGUAAUGACUCUUUCUCAUAAUACAGAAAAUCUCCAUAGCUUUUCCCAUCUACUUUCAAAGAAUAUGAACGGAAUAGGAAUGAGAAACUCUCUAAGCAGCUAUAUCACUUUCCUCUCAGGGACUUCUUAGAAUGGUCAAGGAAAAUCUGGUACAAAAAGAAAAAACGGGCAAAGUGUCACUACUCAAAAGAUGAAGAACUUAGUUGACUUCGAAGUGUGACCUAAUCAAGAUGUAGCAGAAAAAUGAUUCCAGUACACCUGCUAAGGGAAGAAUAUAUGUCAUUCCCAGAAUCAAGGAAGACGUAUUUCUGAGCAAAACAGCCGCAGCAAAUCAAGGUAGAAGUUCUGAUUUUUGCAUCAACCACAAAUCAGGAAAAGGAGAGAAGAUCAAUCAAGGUCAGAUCAAAGAAAAAAGCUAAGGAAGAAGCUGCAAGAAUUAAAUAUUGGAAAACGAGUAAAGUAAGCUCGUACUUUAUUUUUGGAAAGUAUAUUCAUAUCUUUCCAAGGAUCAAAUCCCUUGGGUUGAUUUCUCUGUACAAGAUCCAAUCAAAGCUUCAAUCAAGGAUCGUUCCAGCCUCCAAGCCUCACACGAAGACGAUAAAGCUAUCAAGUGAAAGACGAGAAAAAAAAAAAAUACUUUCGUCUUAUACCAAUCUCAACUUCUUUAUUCUACUCUUAACAAACAUUGUAUUUCAAUAGUGAUGUAUUGUGUAAACAAAAGAGUGAAGAGACAAAAAGUUGUUUGGUGAGGGAUUGUAUGGAGUGUUGCUAGAAAGAAAAAAAGAACUGAUUUUGACAUGUAGGGAACACACCAUCACUGUACAAGACAACUUUAAGAGCUUACAGAGAACACCUUGCAACCAAGGGGCUGGACUAAGAUCAAAAACAUCCCGUGUCACUUUACUGUUCUGCAAUUUAAAUUCUGCAAUCCUUUUACUGUUCUUCAUAAGUAAAUUUUAAGUCAACUACAACUUACUAGCAGUCGACUAAACUAUGAAAAAGUUUUCACCCCCCUCUUGCACUUUUACUUUGUUAUUCUUAUUGUUUUUUUUUUUCUUUUCUUUUUUGUGGGAAAGUUAAGCAUGGUAUGACUUGGUAUACAGAUGUUGAAAGGAAUAUCUUCAGAUUUGAGCUUCUGCUAAAAAAAUCUCCCCUAUUGAGUUUGGUAUUGCUAAAAUCAAAGUGGCGUGAAAGCAGUAAAGAAACAAGAAUGUUUUGGAAGAAUUUUUCUCUACCCUUGUAUUCAUAUAAUGACCUCCUUAUAUGCAAGCAGGGGCGGAGCCAAGUG